UACGUAGGGGGCGAGCGUUGUCCGGAUUUAUUGGGCGUAAAGAGCUCGUAGGCGGCUUGGUAAGUCGGGUGUGAAACCUCCAGGCUCAACCUGGAGACGCCACCCGAUACUGCUAUGGCUAGAGUCCGGUAGGGGAGCGUGGAAUUCCUGGUGUAGCGGUGAAAUGCGCAGAUAUCAGGAGGAACACCAGCGGCGAAGGCGGCGCUCUGGGCCGGAACUGACGCUGAGGAGCGAAAGCGUGGGUAGCAAACAGG
rnacentral:rRNA from 1 species